rnacentral:rRNA from 1 species
CCUACGGGAGGCAGCAGUGAGGAAUAUUGGUCAAUGGACGAGAGUCUGAACCAGCCAAGUAGCGUGAAGGAUGACUGCCCUAUGGGUUGUAAACUUCUUUUAUAUGGGAAUAAAAUGUUCCACGUGUGGGGUUUUGUAUGUACCAUAUGAAUAAGCAUCGGCUAACUCCGUGCCAGCAGCCGCGGUAAUACGGAAGAUUCGAGCGUUAUCCGGAUUUAUUGGGUUUAAAGGGAGCGUAGGUGGAUUGUUAAGUCAGUUGUUAAAGUUUGCGGCUCAACCGUAAAAUUGCAGUUGAAACUGGCAGUCUUGAGUACAGGAGAGGUGGGUGGAAUUCGUGGUGUAGCGGUGAAAUGCUUAGAUAUCACGAAGAACUCCGAUCGCGAAGGCAGUGCACUGGACCGCAACUGACACUGAGGCUCGAAAGUGUGGGUAUCAAACAGGAUUAGAUACCCUUGUAGUC